GCACCACCACAAUCUACACCACCAUCUACACCACCACUAUCUACACCACCACCAUCUACACCACCACCACCACCUACACCACCACCACCAUCUACACCACCAUCUACACCACCACCAUCAUCUACACCACCACCACCUACACCACCAUCUACACCACCACCACCAUCUAUACCACCACCACAUCUACAUCACCACCAUCUACACCAUCAUCUACACCACCACCAUCUACAACACCACCACUAUCUACACCACCACCAUCUACACCACCACCACCACCAUCUAUACCACCAUCUAUACCACCACCAUCUACACCACCACCACCAUCUAUACCACCACCACCACCUACACCACCACCAUCUACACCACCACCACCAUCUACACCACCACCAUCUACACCACCAUCUACACCACUACUACCACCAUCUUGACCACCACCAUCUACACCACUACAACAUCUACACCACCACCAUCAACACCACCAUCUACACCAUCACCACCAACUACAACACCACCACCAAAAACACCACCACAAUCUUCACCAUCUUCAACACCACCACCACUACCACCAUCUACACCACCACCACCAUCUACACCACUACUACCACCAUCUACACCACCAUCACCACCAUUUACACCACCAUCUACACAACCAGCACCACCAUCUACAUCACCACCAUCUACACCACCACCAUCUUAACCAGCAACACCACCACCAUCUACACCACCACCAUCUUCACCAUCACCACCACCAUCUUCACCAGCAACACCAUCUACAACACCAUCUACACCACCACCAUCUACAACACCACCACCGUCUUCACCACCACCACCAUCUUCACCACAACACCAUCUUCACCACUACCACCACCAUCUACUCCACCACCACCAUCUUCACCACCACCACCACCCCAUCUAUACCACCAACAUCUUCAACACCACCACCACCAUCUUCACCAACACCACCCCAUCUACACCACCACCACCAUUUUCAACACCACCACCACCGUCUUCACCACCAUUACCACCACUACCAUCUACACCACCACCACCACCUACACCAUCACCACCACUACCAUCUACACCACCACCACCAUCUACACCACCACCACUACCAUCUUCAACACCACCACUACCAUCUUCAACACCACCACCAUCUACACCACCACCAUCUACAUCAUCAUCUACAACGCCACCACCAUCUACACCACCACAAUCUACACCACCAUCUACACCACCAUCUACAAUGCCACCACCAUCUACACCUCCACAAUCUACACAACCACCACCAUCUUCACCAUCACCACCAUCUUCACCAUCUACGCCACCAUCUACAACACCACCACCAUCUACACCACCAUCAACAACGUCACCACCAUCUACACCACUACAAUCUACACCAUCACCAUCACCACUAUCUUCACCAUCACCACCAUCUACACCACCAUCUACACCACCACCAUCUACACCACCACCACCACCACCAUCUUCACCACCACCACCAUCUACACCACCACAACCACCAUCUACAACAACACCAUCUUCACCAUUUACACCACCACCACCAUCUACACCACCACCACCUUCUUCACCACCACCAGUACCAUUUACACCACCACCACCAUCUACACCACCACCACCUUCUUCUCCACCACCACCAUCUACACCACCACCACCUUCUUCUCCACCACCACCAUCUACACCACCACCACCACCAUCUACAUCACAAUCUACAACGCCACCACUAUCUGCACCACCACAAUCUACACCACCAUCUACACCAUCACCACAAUUUACCCCACCAUCUACACCACCACUAUCUACACCAGCAUCUACACCACCACCACCAGCAGCAUCUACACCACCACCAUCUACACCACCACCACAAUUUACACCCGCACCAUCUACACCACCACCACCAGCAUCUCUGAAUGUGCUACCCUCCCCGUAUAUCCAUGCUCAGAAAGGUGCCCAUCUCUGCCCAUGGAUAGGCAUCCUCCCCUGGCACACAGAGAACAACGAUGCUGCAAUCAGCCUGUGCUGUAG
rnacentral:lncRNA from 8 species